rnacentral:tRNA from 1 species
CCAUAAGUAGCUUACACCAAGCACUAGCCUUUUAAGCUAGAGAUGGGCACCAUCGCCCCUCAUGGU